GUACCAGCCUUCUAGUGACUCUCACAGUAGGGUCUACUGUGGAGGUACCAGCCUUCUAGUGACUCUCACAGUGGGGUAUACUGUGUAGGUACCAGCCUUCUAGUGACUCUCACAGUAGGGUAUACUGUGUAGGUACCAGCCUUCUAGUGACUCUCACAGUAGGGUCUACUGUGGAGGUACCAGCCUUCUAGUGACUCUCACAGUGGGGUAUACUGUGUAGGUACCAGCCUUCUAGUGACUCUCACAGUAGGGUAUACUGUGUAGGUACCAGCCUUCUAGUGACUCUCACAGUAGGGUCUACUGUGGAGGUACCAGCCUUCUAGUGACUCUCACAGUGGGGUAUACUGUGUAGGUACCAGCCUUCUAGUGACUCUCACAGUAGGGUAUACUGUGUAGGUACCAGCCUUCUAGUGACUCUCACAGUAGGGUCUACUGUGGAGGUACCAGCCUUCUAGUGACUCUCACAGUGGGGUAUACUGUGUAGGUACCAGCCUUCUAGUGACUCUCACA